UACCGCGGCGGCAUUUCGAGACUGCCGAGACGGCCAGUUUCCUCGGAAGACUUUUCAAAACAAUAUUUAAGAGUAAAUUAAAUGAAAUUGUUGAAUCAGUCUUUCCAAAAAGUGAGUGACGAGGGGGGUAGCGGAAGGGACGUUCCGCUCGGGCGCUCACUUGGCGGAUAUGCAUGCAUCCGGCGUGCGCGCCGCAGUGCCGGCCUCCCCUACGCUCGCCGCAGACACAACAAUGCCUCCUGAAAUCCGAAGCUGGCGGGCGCUGCGCUCCGGCCAGUCCAGUCCAGCCAUUCACAAAUUGCGAAGCCUUGACCCACUAAUUGUUUGCCCUCCGCAAACGUGGCGAUCGUUUCCCAGCCACGAGCAAGCGCCGGAAGUGGCCACAGGCCUAUCGUCGGGACAACACAUUCGUUAUUAUGUCAACUCGCCGGUAUAUAUAGCAAAAAAUGUUCCUUUUAGUAUCUGACCGAGAUUGUAAUCCUGGAUUCAAAAACGAACCUUCGGCUCUAAUCUUAAAUAAUAUUUUACAAAGCAAUUUUUGUAUCGAUGAUUUAUAUCGUGAUUCCUUAGCAGACAGACGAACAUACUAGUACGGUAUAUUCAAGGACAGAACAUUUCCAAGAAUUUAUCUAAUCUACGACACUUCCUUUCCGCUCAAAUACCUUCGGGUACCUUCAAACUUUCAUCACGGCGGAAAUAUAAAUUUCACAAGGCAUUAUUUCUGCAAGUAACAAUUAACCGUAUAACAUGUAUUUAUCUCUUCGCCCUUCAACCGUCAUUACGUUAUCACAUCAUUUCACUGUCAUAUAACUGGAAAGAAAAGCUGAAGCUCGAAUGAGUUUUUAACGUGAAGAGAAAUGGAAAAACAAAGGAAACGUUUACAAAACUCGAGAUCUUCUGCUGCGGGAAACAUUACAUUCGCGGAAAAUGCAUGCCAAAUUUUUUGCAAAAUAGAAAAUUAUCCUGAAUUUCUAAAUGGUUCUGGUGAAUGGGUGGGGAUUUUUUUGUAAACUUACUUGAGGGUCCUCUCCAUCGUGGAAGUGCGAAAUAUCUCUUCUUGGUCGAGUGACAACACGCAGUAAAUAUCGCGGUGGCACGCGGCGCCAUGGCUGCGACCCGGGAGGUUCUUAGCUUCUCCUGCAAAAAAAAACUUUUAUUCAAUUGCGAGUAGUUAGAGGGUGCGUUCGGACAUUUAAUCCAUGCCGAUUGAGAGAUCUAUGAUGGCGCUUUUUUAUCGACAAACUCAGAUAAAAAUUACUAUAAUGUAAAUACCUAUAUUAGUAUCGAUAUAGUGUUAGGUACUUUUAUUUAUUACAUAGUUUUUGUUUUGUGGGAUAAUAGCAUUCAAAGGGGUUUGAAGAUUUUACUAUGGAGCGUGGCAUACCUACUGCCGCCAUUUUGAUUUUUUUUCAAAAUCGCGGCCAGCCAUGAAACUUUUAUAAAUCGAUAGCUGACAUUAAUGCCAACAAAAAAUAUUAAUUCAAUGACCUUCAUAAAGUGUCAGGUUUCCGAGAAAAUAACCGUCAAAGUUGAUCACGUGAUAUUUUUUAAUAGCGACUAUAAUCCCAUCUAUUUGGUAUAACAAUGUGUAAACAUACACAAAAUAUUCUAAUAGGUAUAGAUAAUAUUAAUAAUAAAACAUAGAUAACUAUGCCUCAUGAUAUUUCUACAUGUUGCGGCUACUAUGUACUUAAUAAGAAUAUUUCAUACUACGACAAAAAAGUCAAUGGUGACGUACUGUUCAUUAGGUAUUGUUUUAGGUGUUAUAUAUAACAAGAAAAUAGAUUAUAUAUUGUAUUAUUCUAAUGUGCAAGCGAGACGGAAGGGGGGGGGGGGGGCACCUUUAUACCCCCGACCGCUGCACUCAGUUUGCUACCUGUGUUCUUUCUAUGCGGGAGUAAACGCCUCUCUGUGCGAGUUAUUCGUUAUUUAGUAUUUGUAUUGAUGUUAUGAAUGUGAUUUUUGUGUUUGUAGUCUCAAAAGUGUUUAAAUUGUGUAUACUAAAAGCAUGAUGCCUUAAAAUGUUUAUCGGGCAAUAAAAAUACUGUUCCUAAA